GACGAACGCUGGCGGCGUGCUUAACACAUGCAAGUCGAACGCUGAAGCUUGGUGCUUGCACUGGGUGGAUGAGUGGCGAACGGGUGAGUAAUACGUGAGUAACCUGCCCUUGACUCUGGGAUAAGCCUGGGAAACUGGGUCUAAUACUGGAUACGACAUGUCACCGCAUGGUGGUGUGUGGAAAGGGUUUUACUGGUUUUGGAUGGGCUCACGGCCUAUCAGCUUGUUGGUGGGGUAAUGGCUCACCAAGGCGACGACGGGUAGCCGGCCUGAGAGGGUGACCGGCCACACUGGGACUGAGACACGGCCCAGACUCCUACGGGAGGCAGCAGUGGGGAAUAUUGCACAAUGGGCGGAAGCCUGAUGCAGCGACGCCGCGUGAGGGAUGACGGCCUUCGGGUUGUAAACCGCUUUCAGCACGGAAGAAGCGAAAGUGACGGUACGUGCAGAAGAAGCGCCGGCUAACUACGUG
rnacentral:rRNA from 1 species